UUUGAACCCAGGAGGCAGAGGUUGCAGUAAGCCAAGAUCGCAUCACUGCACUCUAGCCUGGGUGACAGAGCUAGACUCCAUCUCAAAAAAGAAAGAAGAAAGAGAAAUAUGUUAGAAUAAUGUAUAGAUGGACAUGCAAGUUGGUUUUUCCCCCAAAGUAAGAAAAGAGAAGCCUAGUAUACAUAUUAACCCCACUCAUUCAAACUCCUCAAGAUUUGUCUAGCUCUGCAGCUGCCAUUUAUGGCAUGCUCCAACCACAUGCAGGCAUUGCAAUUCAGGGUAUCUUUAAUU